UGAGGUCUCUGAGCCCCCUGGGCAAGGUCUCAAGCCCUCUAGGGCAGCCAGAGGGAUUUCCUGGGUUCCCACAAGAGCCAAUAAAGGAGAUUUUCCCCAAGUGCAGGGAAGGAUGAGCAGCACCCACAGAAUGCAAGCUUUGAGUUCUGCUCUCUACCGAGGCUAAAACACAAUGCCCAGUCCAAGGGGAGGUGUCAAACCCAGGAAAUAUCGAAUUAACCCAUGCAGGAGGCUGAUUCCACCCUGCAGCUGGGACCAGGGACGUGUUUCAGCAUUUCCCACCCGUCUGGGGAUGCUCAGCUUGCACAUCCUCUGGUAAAGGUCACGGUCUGUUUCAGCUCCUAAACCAAAAGCAAAACCAGCCCGGCUGAGGAAUUCACGUCAGCAUUUCUGGGGCAGGAAAUGGUGAAUGGUGAAUGAUGAGUGCAGCACCAGGCCGUGACCUCCUCCCUUCCAUCCCCUGCAGAUGAUGACAUCCAAAUUCUCCUGGGACUGAGCCUCAGCGUGGUCGGAUUAUCCGUUCUUUUUGCAGUUGUGAUGUUUAAAAAGUCAGUCAGGAAAAGGGUCAAGGCCGCCCUCCUGUCCCUCUUGCCAAGGUGGAUGUUUGAGGACUUUCCCCACAUGGAGAACAGCACCGUGGUGAAGUCACUCCAGGACAAGGCUGAUUUCCC